rnacentral:rRNA from 1 species
CUACGGGUCGCAGCAGUGAGGAAUAUUGGUCAAUGGGCGCAAGCCUGAACCAGCCACUCCGCGUGUAGGAUGACUGCCCUAUGGGUUGUAAACUACUUUUAUACAGGAAGAAACCUCCAUACGUGUAUGGAGCUGACUGUACUGUAAGAAUAAGCAUCGGCUAACUCCGUGCCAGCAGCAGCGGUAAUACGGAGGAUGCAAGCGUUAUCCGGAUUUAUUAGGUCUAAAGGGUGCGUAGGCGGAUAUUUAAGUCAGUGGUGAAAUCCUACAGCUUAACUGUAGAACUGCCAUUGAUACUGGAUGUCUUGAGUUUAGUUGAGGUAGGCGGAAUGUGUAGUGUAGCGGUGAAAUGCUUAGAUAUUACACAGAACACCGAUUGCGAAGGCAGCUUACUAAGCUAACACUGACGCUGAGGCACGAAAGCGUGGGGAGCGAACAGGAUUAGAUACCCUUGUAGUC